rfam:Agrobacterium vitis S4 chromosome 1, complete sequence.
UACGCAUGCUGGAGCCCCGCAGCGGCGCUUGGGACACUGUCCCGCACCGUGAACAAUCCGGGGCUUAA